AUCUCUUUAGUGUAGAGGUAACACGAUGGUCUCCAAAACCAUUAUCCUAGGUUCGAAUCCUAGAAGGGGUGCUA
rnacentral:tRNA from 1 species